AAAGUGCGAUAAGCAAUGCGAAUUGCAGAAUUCCGCGAAUCAUCAGAUCCUUGAACGCAACUGGCGCUAGGAGGCUCUCCUCCUAGCAUGUCUGUUUCAGUGUCUGAAAACAUCCAAGUUUAACUUAAUGUGGUUGAUGAUGAGAUUGAUAAAUUAAUAUAUCUUUCUCAGAAUCUCCCAUGAAAGAUGUGCAUGUGGGUCUUUGGACUCCUCAUCGAAUUGGUCACUGUCCUCAGUGAUUUCGAUAGGAGAUUAUUAUUCAAUUACCUAAAUACAUGUAGAACUUUAACAAAAAAACCUCCUCAAACUCUGCAUCUGAAAUCAGGCAAGAACACCCGCUGAACUUAA
rnacentral:misc_RNA from 1 species